CGGCCAGUGAGCUUCCUUCCCUGCGGGCGCCGACAACACAUCUGGGAAUGUGCUCCCAGACAGACAUCUGUGGGAAGCUCAGGCUCUUGAAGUUUCUUUUGAUGGGAGCUCUGACCUGGCCUUGGCACGGGGACCUCGCACGGGAACAGACGGAGCAAGCGUCUGCCCGCCUGGCCUGCCCUCGUCCACGGUGCGCUGUUUUCCUUUGCUGCUUAUGGACUUGUAUUCUCUGCCCAGGACGGAGCAGAGCUUCUCUCUGCAGCCACCAAAUCAAGACCCAAGCAGAGAUGGUGCUGGCACGGGGCGGAGCGACACGGAUUUAAACUCAGGGGGAGGACAACGGAGACCACAAACAACACUCCGACCUCAGCCGGCGACAGUGACGCAACCCCAACCUGGACACACGGAGGUGGGGGGAAAAGAGGGGGAGGUGCACCAUGGCCACUGCGCACGGUGGCAGUGCGGUGACAGCACAGAGCUGGCCCCAAACCACCAGCUAGGAAGGGAGUCGGGAGUUGAGGCCGGUGCGGCUGCUCCCAAGGCCUUAUCCUUCCCACCUCUGGAACAGGCACCAUCAGGACCUGGCCUGGAGGAAUCUGCACCAGCACAUCUUCCCAGCCGAGUGGCAGGCUUGCCAGGUGAGGGUGUGCAGUUCAGCGGGAUUCUCCAGGGAUGACAUGUGGCAAAGAGCUGAGGGCCAAGCAGGGGACAAGGAAUUUCCAGCCAAUUAGUGGCCGAGCGAAGCCAGAGGAGAACUGGCCCCACAUCCCACUUGCUCUCUGACAGCAAAUCCUCGCAGCCAGGCAUGUCUGGAUCACUUGAACUCGGGCCAAGAGCUCGGAAGCAGCAGGGGGCGGGGUAGGCACGAAGAGCCCAGGAAGAGACCUCUUGGCUUCACCUUAGAAAACACUGGUGUUUACACACACGGAGCUGCCUGUCCGAAGCUGUUUAGUUUUACAUUAAAAUGGUCAGCAUUUUUUUCCUGGUAA